UGGAUGCCUGCAUUCAAGCUUUUCUGUGCACACACAGAAGAAUUGAUCAGUUCAGCCCUGAGACGGCCACAGUUCAGAGGUGUUUCACAACUUGCCGGAGUCUGCUGAUCUCAGAGGAAUGUGUGGACAUCUUGCAAGGCUUUCUGCUGGUAAAGGCUGCCUAUGAGCCCACAGGUGCUCGGGCAUGGUUGGAAUCUGUAGGCACUCCGGGCUGCAGAUGGCUGAGAAAGAAGACCCAUCUGAGCUACUAAGGCAUCAUCCUUUAGGAAGAAGAGCCCACCUACCUAUCUAUGACCUCCAGCUGAGUCUGCUGUGCUCAAUUAGGAGAAAAUGCAGAUUUUAAUCCGCCCCAUGGAGUAGUAACAUCUCACUCCCUGGCCUUGGCAAAGGAGCCAUUUAACUGUUUCUGCCGCAGUUUCGCACACAGCGCAUUAUUCUAAUGUCAGCAGCAUUUCCGUCUGCUCUAGUUUCCCUGGCAGUACUCCCCCAGGCACUGGGAUGUGGACAAUUAAAGCCCACUUUAUCAUUUUGGAACCAAUGAUUUCCUUCCCCUGGUAAAGUCCAUCACUGCACGCCAGCUGCUCUUACCAUCACAGCCAUCCACACUUCUCGAGGCCAUUGCAGUCCCCUGAAAACGAAACAACGGCAACACAACGGCAUCCUUCACCGCGAGCGCGGGAUAAUUAACCUCGUUGCAGGACAGUGCCAUGAAUCUCUGUCACAAACUGUCAGCUGGUGACAUCCUGAGUAUAAGUAAAUAUUUAAACAAACUUGUUCUGAAGCAUUAAAGUAAUAAAGUGACAGACCUCGGAAAGGGAGCACUUGGGGAAAGGGAGAAAAAAAAAGCAGAAAAAGCCAUUUCAAACUUCUGGAAUAGGACCGAAGUAACUGGGAUUCACGCAACUGAAAUGCAAAGUCCGCCAUUCAUCAAGCCAAACAAUGGUCGUUAUACACUCAUAAGCCCCCAAAUCGAAACCCAAGCGGAGCAUGUGUGUUCAGGUGGGACGCUGGAGCUCUCCCAACAACAUUCUGCUGAAUGGUGAAUAAUACUCAGCUCAAGUACACUUUGCUUCCAGACGUAUUCACUGGGAAGCAACAGCAAGAUUCCGAACAGCUGGAGGUUUAAGUAAAAAACAAAAAUAGCUACAGGCUUUAACUCAGAUCCAAAUGGUAUGAAUAAUAAUAAUAAAAAAACAAAAUACCUGGUAACUAUAAAUCUCAUCAACCGAUGUAAAAGAACAUUCUAAAUCUAUUAAUAUUUCCAGAGACAUUAUCUCUCUGCCACCCCACUGCUUUGUGACUUGUUGUAUCAGCGAUAUUGUUUGCCUUAAAGCACGAGCUAAGUGUUUUUCUUCCCCUGCGAGGAGAAUCGUCCACAACCUUCACGAGACACAGCCCACUGCUCCCCGCAGGAGGACCGGCGCAUCAUUAACGACGGAAGGCACUUCAGGCACAAGGCGAGGCUCCAGCGUCUCCGAGCUCGCCGUCUCCCAUCAAAAUUCAUAUCCUGUCACUAUUCGAGGAGCAGAAAGGCUUCUCAUUACAGCAUCAUUCCCCUCUUGCAAGAAACACUGAUUGCUGCACUGGUGGCUUUGGAAGGCAAAGAUGUAAUUUAGCAAAAUAAUGUACCAUGCUGAUUAAUUUAAUGUAGCCCAUGACUAAUUAUGGUAAUUCAUUACAUCUACAAUUAGGCUAAGUAAUUUAUUGCACUGCAGUCUCAUAAAGCGGAGGAUUUAUAUCGAGUUUUGAAUGUCACCCAAAGGACAUUUCUGUACCUUGUCUUUACUGAGGCGGAAUCAGGCUGCCAGCUGAGAGGAGCCCCAACCAGGGGAGGGGGAGCCCCGCACCCUUGCCAUGCCAUGCCGGCGUUGUGGCAGCGGCAGGACGCAGCCUCCUCCUCCACCCGCCUGGCAUUGCCUCCCCAUCCCUUCUGACCCGACACCUGAUCCACCAACUGGCGGACCCAGGCCACGGCAUGGAGAUGCUGCUCGGAGCCGUGGAACCCCCCAAAGCAAGAACAGAUGAUCAGCACCGCGCGCUGGAGCCACGGGGAUGCUCGCGGAGUCCUGAACGCUUCGUGGCAUACAAAUGAAUGAUCCUCAUUCUUCUCCUGCCCCAGCAUAUAGGCCAGACCUCAUUAGGAUUCAAUAUCGCUCGGCUUUUCUGAUGUUAAUGUUCCACUUACAUAAGAUAUGCAAGAAGGGGGGACGUAUGGGAAAGGGGGGCAUGCCGCAAUUAUGGUCGACACGAUGCCGUAAUCCUGAAAGCAGAACUUCAUAUUUUUGAGAAAAUUACUCCAUUUUCCUAUUUGCUCUCGCAGCCCUAAUGCAGCAUUAUGUCCGUUCCUCCCUCUAACAAGCGGGUUUUAAUCGCGUGCCUACCCUGCAGUUACAGCAGGUAAAAUAACAGGUUUUAUAGCCCUUUUAUUUGGGGGGAAAAAUAAAAGAUGCCGUGACUAAACAUCAGCUCCGAGUCCAUUUUACUGUGAAAGGAAACACUGCACUUUACGUUAUAAAACUACUGUAGGACUUAUCGCCAUCCAGGAAUAACCCCAGCAUUAGGCUGUGUCCUUUUGUCUGGAGAGCAGAGAGCGCGUAAUGGAAACAGAACCCAGCACGGCACAAACAUACAAUUUAUACCUUUUUAUCAAGCAAAGACGAAAGUUGGUUAACGUUUGAAAAGGGAGCAGUAAUGUAUAUUUAUUGACAAUUUUAUUGUAAUAAUUAGAUGUUUACACAGUCUGGACAUUGUGGCUAAAUCACUUCCAGCAUGUUUAUUUGUAAAGGGCUGUUUUCAGGGCAGUGCAGGAGGCUCAUUAAGAAGACAGACUGCAUUAAGAUUCAAAGAAAUUACUGCUUCUCAUGCUCAGCUCCACUGCUUUGGAUUUAAAGUAAGAAAAGAAAGAUAGAAAGAAAAAGAGAGGGAGGA
ensembl:lncRNA